ACCAGGCAUGGUGGUGUGUGCCUACAGUCCCAGCUACUUGGGAGGCUGAGGUGGGAGGAUCGCUUGAGCCCAGGAGUUCUGGGCUGUAGUGUGCUAUGCCAAUCGGUGUCUGCACUAAGUUCGGCAUCAAUAUGGUGACCUCCCAGGAGGGGAGGACCACCAGGUGGCCUAAGGAGGGGUGAACCGGCCCAGGUCGGAAACGGAGCGGGUCAAAACUCCUGUGCUGAUCAGUAAUGGGAUCUCGUCUGUGAAUAGCCACUGCACUCCAGCCUGGGCAACAUAGCGAGACAUUGUCUCU
rnacentral:SRP_RNA from 1 species